GUUAGGGUUAGGGUUAGGGUUCGAGUUAAGGUUAGUGUUGGAGCUAGGGUUAGGGUUGGGCUUGGAGCUAGGAUUUUUCUGAGUGCAAUGAACCAACUCCCGAGUCUCUAGGACGUUCCUAAAAAAAUUUGAUUUUUUCCCAUAGGAAUGCAUGGGUUAGGGUUAUGGUUAGGGUUAGGGUUGGAGCUAGGGUUAGGGUUAGGGUUAGGGUUGGAGUAAGGGUUAGUGUUGGAGCUAGGGUUAGGGUUGGGCUUGGAGCUAGGAUUUUUCUGAGUGCAAUGAACCAACCCCCGAGUCUCUAGGACGUUCCUAAAAAAUUUGAUUUUUUCCCAUAGGAAUGCAUGGAUUAGGGUUAGGGUUAGGGUUGGAGCUAGGGUUAGGGUU